UACAGAGGGGGCAAGCGUUGUUCGGAAUUACUGGGCGUAAAGGGCGCGUAGGCGGCCCUCUAAGUCAGACGUGAAAUCCCCGGGUUCAACCCGGGAACUGCGUCUGAUACUGGAGGGCUUGAAUCCGGGAGAGGGAUGUGGAAUUCCAGGUGUAGCGGUGAAAUGCGUAGAUAUCUGGAGGAACACCGGUGGCGAAGGCGGCAUCCUGGACCGGUAUUGACGCUGAGGCGCGAAAGCCAGGGGAGCAAACGGG
rnacentral:rRNA from 1 species